rnacentral:rRNA from 1 species
AACGAACGCUGGCGGCAUGCCUAACACAUGCAAGUCGAACGAGACCUUCGGGUCUAGUGUCGCACGGGUGCGUAACGCGUGGGAACCUGCCCUUAGGUUCGGAAUAGCUCCCCGAAAGGGGUCGUAGUACCGGAUAAUGUCUUCGUACCAAAGAUUUAUCGCUUUUGGUUGGGCCCGCGUUGGAUUAGCUAGUUGGUAGUGUAACAGCCUACCAAGGCGCCGAUGCAUAGCUGGUUUGAGAGGACGAUCAGGAACACUGUGACUGAGAGCAGGACCGGACUCUUACGGGUGGAAGAAGGGGGGAAUAAUGGACGCCGGGUGAAAGAAUGAGGCAGCAAGGUCGUGUGAGUGUGGUAGGAGUUAGGGUUGGAAAGCUCUUUUAAACGGGAUGAUAAUGACAGUACCGGAAGAAUAAGCGCCGGCUAACUCCGUG